rnacentral:rRNA from 1 species
ACCUACGGGACGCAGCAGUGGGGGAUAUUGCACAAUGGGGGGAACCCUGAUGCAGCGACGCCGCGUGAGCGAAGAAGUACCUCGGUAUGUAAAGCUCUAUCAGCAGGGAAGAAAAUGACGGUACCUGACUAAGAAGCCCCGGCUAAAUACGUGCCAGCAGCCGCGGUAAUACGUAUGGGGCAAGCGUUAUCCGGAUUUACUGGGUGUAAAGGGAGCGUAGACGGCGAUGCAAGUCUGAAGUGAAAGCCCGGGGCUCAACCCCGGGACUGCUUUGGAAACUGUAUGGCUGGAGUGCUGGAGAGGCA